UAUCACAGAGAUCCAGCAGGUG
rnacentral:misc_RNA from 1 species